rnacentral:rRNA from 1 species
UACGUAGGGUGCGAGCGUUGUCCGGAUUUAUUGGGCGUAAAGGGCUCGUAGGCGGUCUGUCGCGUCGGGAGUGAAAACUCAGGGCUUAACCCUGAGCCUGCUUCCGAUACGGGCAGACUAGAGGUAUGCAGGGGAGAACGGAAUUCCUGGUGUAGCGGUGAAAUGCGCAGAUAUCAGGAGGAACACCGGUGGCGAAGGCGGUUCUCUGGGCAUUACCUGACGCUGAGGAGCGAAAGUGUGGGGAGCGAACAGG